rnacentral:tRNA from 1 species
GGAGCGAUGGCCGAGUCCGGCUUAAGGCGGCUGUCUUGAAAACAGCUGUGGCGUAAGCCACCGGGGGUUCAAAUCCCUCUCGCUCCGCCA